rnacentral:lncRNA from 1 species
CAGCUCUGAAGAAUGCAACAUGAGAAAUACCUCGAUGAAGUCAGAUCCUGUCAUUAUUUAUAGCCCAUCUUCGUCAAGCCUGAUGGAACAAAAGCUCACGUUUUCAUGGUUGUCCUGGACAACAUUUCCAACACAGCCAUUUACAGCCCUAAGAAGCACGCUUAGCCUUUGGCAACGCCAGGAAAUCAAAGUUGCAGCCAUCAGAGUCGUCUGGCCAAUUAAAGGGUGAUGACGCCAACACCCAAAGUGCAGAGCAAAACUGUAACAAUUUGUGGCAUUUAGACAAAGGAGCUUGCAGCCGGCGCCCACCCUGGCACAGGCAAGAGGAUUGUCAUUGUCUGAUUCCUUAAUGAGCAGAGAAACUCCCUCAUAUAGAUUAUUGUAUGGUUAGAAUUGGUGUGGAUCUAGGAGGAAGGGGA